GCAUUAUUCCUGGGAUCUACCUCUGCGCCAAACUAGCGGUUCAUCUGGAAGUGCUAGGCACCGAUGAACGUCAAAUUCUUUCCCUGGCUGGCCUCCCUUGACCGAUGUUGGACCAUGGAGCGAAGAGCGUGUCAUGGCCUGCCACACGACCCCAUAUGCAAGCUCUCUUGCUAGGAGGACGAGACCAUCGAUCAUUUACACGCCUAGUGCACCUUCUUAAAGAUCACCUGGCAUGAAAUUCUGUCUUGGUGUCGUCUCCCAGUGCUCCCGCCCAACGAGGAUGCGACCUUCUUCACUUGUUGA
rnacentral:rRNA from 1 species